rnacentral:rRNA from 17 species
GGUUGACCUCGGAUCAGGUAGGAAUACCCGCUGAACUUAAGCAU